GCAUUGUUUUGACGGUUUUUCGUCGUAUUUCCGGUUUGGGAUUAACGCAAAUUCGGGCAGAAAUGCAAAAUUCGGCAAGAAAACUCAGUUUUAAAGAUAGAAGCUUGAAAAUAACACUAUACGUGUUAUUUGUAACUGCUUCAUUGAUCAAGAGCAUACGUCUCAAGGGGCCGAAGUUAUGUUCGGCGAAAGGUAUGUCUAUGUUUAUAAUUUGUUAGUAAUAUUGCGUAAUUUGAUCAUAUAUAAGCCCGUUUGACUUUCAAAGCUUAUAAAUCGCUACAAUGUAGCCAGUGACUAAAACUAUCGUUAUAAAUUAGUAUAUAUUUUUAUACUGAAUCGAAUGGUGGUGUUUUCAUCGACAUAGCGUGUACUGAACCGAAGAUAUAAACGAAAUAUCCGUAGAACGUGCACGUUCUACGCGUAAUGGCCCCUGUUGAGAAAGAGUUAAAGACUUAUUGAGUUUUGUAAACAACAAAAGCUUCAUCCUCGCACGAAAUUUUGGUGCAGCAGAAUCUUACAUCUUGAAGUACGUUCGACGGUUCGAGAGAGUACAAAAAUCGUUUGUACGGCCUUUAGAUAAAUCAUAAAUAUAUUCUAUUUUAACUAGAUAUAGUAUUAUAGCUGUUGAAGACUCUAUUGGAUUGUGCGUCUGUACGCACAUGCUACAAAUGCUAUAAUAUUGGCAGGUAUGCGUAUAAUAAUAAGAGACGGAAUUUACAUAAUAUUUUCGUCAAUUUAGAUUAAUACUGCGGCUUAAUACAGGCAGUCUCAGUGUAUUUAUACUUUGUUCAUGCCUCUUGUGGCAUGUGGACUUUAUAUAUUAAUCAGAUACUUAAUAAUAAUAUUGAAUUAUUUUUUACAUGAAAAUGUAGCAUGGCUUUGUGUAAUACGAUCUCUACAACACGUACACAACAGGUAAAACGGAUCAUGUUGCCAAAUUGUGAAUACUUAUUCAUGACACAUGUUUCUUCUUUGAAUAAAACUCGAGGAGCAGUGAAUUAAACGUGGAAAUUCACUUCCUGCGAAUUAACAAUCAAUCAAAUGUUUUAAACUGCAUCACUAUGUUGCAAAAUCUUUUGACCAUCCAUGUAAAAGGACAAAAUAUGCGAUUAAAUAACAAUUUUUAAAACGUCAAUUUGUGCUUGUCAAUCUAUUUCUCGAUAAGAAUUGGAUGCUUGCUUGGCAUUGGGCGAAACAGUAAUUUUCAUGUAACAUUUUUUCGCAAACAGGACACAUAUUAAUUUGGUUGGCGAUCCCCACCUCGGCUGCCAAAAGUAAUCACCAUACUGAUGCGAUGUUCAGCAACGAAAUUUUUUACUAACGUACGAAAAAUCGUAGGUCCGCUCCUGAGAAAUCAUACAUAGUGGACGUACGUGGUUUAUUCUACUUCUUUUAUAAUUUGCGUAUCAAGUGGAAAUAAUAUAAUUCUUCAACAGUAAACAGUGAAUUAUAUAACGCCACGUUGUUAAUCGAGAAUUUGAAAAAAUAGAUCGUUUGCAUUCACCUUGCCUCAAGCUAACUGAAAAAAGUCUGUCGAAGUACUUAUUAUAAUGUGGGUUUGACUUCAGUUACUACCUGCAUUUUCAAUAUUUGUGCAGAGGUUACUUUUUACACAUUUGUUAAUUUUAUUUUUUAUGUCUAUUUAUACAGUAUAACUGGAAUACCGCCCAACUACCACCAGGGAAAAACGAAAAUGCAGAACAGGCAGUAACAUAAACCGAGCAAACAUUACACUAGAUAUUUCUACAGAUUUUGAUCUGCAACCAGCACGAAUUGAAACACCAUGUAAUAUGUUUAAUUUUACUGUUUACUGCUGGGCCAUGAUGACAUUCAAUUCUGCGUUCAAUUGCACUGUUUAAAACCAGUUUUUGUGGCCCGUUCGCGGGCUAACCAUUGUGUACGCGCCGAAAAACGUUGUGAAGUCGUGAAGUUGUGACGGAGCGUGUUCGACUUUACUUCGGAAACUGUCGUUAAUGCCAUGAGGCGAUGAUAUUGAUAUAGUAAUGCACAGUCCACAGAUCUGCGAAUAAAACAUCAAUAAUUCAUCACAAAUACAGGUAAACCAAUUAUUUUCCAUCUCUAGUCAAUUAUAAUGCUAAAAACAUCGCAAUUUUGGUCUGCUCUGGUCAAAAAUAUUUGAUUAGGCCAGUGGCGUAGCCAGAACGAUAAUUGGGAGGGAUGGGGGGAUAUUCAUGCCAUUGGCAUUGUUGCUUGCACUGAUCUUACAUCAGGCGCUUACGAGAGGUCCACGUAUCAAAUAGAAACUGAAAUAGAA
rnacentral:lncRNA from 1 species